UCCCCAUUCUGAGGUCAGUAAAGGUGGCAUCACUGCAGCUGCAAUGGGGAGUAGUUGUGGGUUGUCUCUGGAAAUUUUAUUCUCAGAG